UUUCUCUUGUUCCCUACCAGAAUGAAAAACAAACCAAGCGCUCUCUCGUUGUCCCCUGAAGAGAGCGAGGUAAAAGGGCGGUAAGGUGGAAGUGGGAGACUAAAGAACCUAGCUGAUUCUCCUCUCUACUAUCCCUUUAAUGGCGACUGGGCAACGAGCAUCGUCGAACCCUUCAGCCAUGCUUGCAUCUUUAAUGAGCAAGAGAGUAAAGCUUCAUGAAGAGCUUCGAAACAUAGAAAAACAGGUCUAUGAAUUAGAGACAAGCUACUUACAAGAUUCAAAUCAGUGUGGGAAUGUAUUGAAAGGUUUCGAAUGGUUUCUAUCAGCUUCCAAGAGCACAACCAAGUAUAUCACAGGGACAUUCAUCAAAUAUCUUUUUAUCAUUCUGUUUAAUUUUUGGGUUUUAUGGUUUGAGCUAUUUGGAUAUUCAUCUGAACUGGCAGUCUCCGGCCAAAACCCCCCUUGGUAUCAGAGCUUUGUUAUUUUACAGUUUCAUGGGAGAAAUGAGGCAGGCUAUGGGAUUUAAGAGCUUUACGCGAGAAACCCAUUCCAAGUGUCAAGGAAACAGAAAAUGAUGCAGUUGGGCGUUGGGCUGAUGAACAGUUAGUUGGAAGAGAAGGUGAGCUCAUGGCACACUAUGGAUAGAUAGAUAUAUAGGCUGCACCAGUUGUAUGGGUAGCUCAGGUAGUCAAACCUUUGUGGAACGUUUUUGGUGGAUAUGUUGUCAACAUCCCCUUACCUUAUGGCAAGUUCACUCAAUUCAGUUUGUUUGUAGUAAAUUUUUGGAAAUGGUUCAAUUGGCAAAUAGUUCUUAGGGGAUAACUCCAAUACAUGGUAAGCGGUAAGGUUGAGGUGGGUCUGGCUAUUGCUACCUGGUGAAUCUAGAGUGUUACUUGUACAUCCGUGUUCAGAUUGGCCACAUCUUAUCUCCACAAGGUAUAAAAUCAAGAGGUAAUGCAGCCAUGCUUGGUUACCUGGGCUACCCACAGAACAUUCUUUUAUUAGGGUGCAGCUUGUUGUCACCGAAGAGGUGAUCUGAGAAAUUUUAACCUUGUUUGAUUGCCCUUUAUCUUAUUACAAAUAGUUUAGGGUUAAAGUAAAAGAAGGUUUUCAAAAUAUUUGAAAGUGACCAGAUCAUUAUGCCAUUCUCAGAAGCUGUCAUUGCUUGCAUGUUUUUUGAGUACACAGUUGAAAUGGCAGGAUUUUACACAUUUGAAUAAGAGGUGUUAUACCGAAAGGGAAAAAAAAGUAAGGUUAAAUAUUUCACCAACUUUGGUUACAAACAAAAAAAAAUCCCUAUAUUUUUUUGUGUAUUUUGUCUAAGAACAUGAACUUCUGUCUUGCUUUUGUUAUAUUAGAUGGAAGGUCAGAUUUUGGUCCAGGACGGUCGAAGGGUGGAGGUACACCUGCAAAUGGGCAGGGAAAACCAAAGAAGGGUAGAACAGCCUCAAGGGAUGGGAGGAGAAUCAGACCAUCUAGUGAACAUGAUCUUGACGACGAAGAUGAU